CGAAGUUCGUUAUUUAUAGAAGAUUGUUACUCAACAUUAAGGUGCCGCUGAACCACAACUUCCUAGCAGAAUUGUGUCAGAAGUGAUCAGCUUGAAGGGGAAACGAGAAAUGUUGCGAACGAACGAACGCAAAUCAGAACUUCAUGGACACGCUGAUUCAUCGUAGCACCUCGAAGGUGUUCCAUCUUCAAAUGCAAAUCAGAUGAAGGAUUAAUUAGCUGACAAAAUAAUCUAAUGAUCACAAAGGCAUUAAGAUCAUAAUCUCACCUUGGCUACUAGGGUAAUAACACGCGCAUGUUCCCGGAGAUGGUCAAUGAUGAGACGGUCGACACGUGAUGGAUUCCCUUGCAAACGAGCUGUUUGAACUGUUCAGAGUUUUGAUCCAAUCUCAGAUGCAAAAUGCUGGAAGGACCAGAGCGCCUGGAUGUGGUAUUUCUCAGUCCACCGAACAAAUCGGACAUGGGAUGUAGCGGUGGUGCUGACACAGCGAUUUUUGAAAACGAAGAACCGGCCAUCAAAUGCGUCCAAAACACUACGAUUAACUUACAAUCAGUGACCCAGCACUGUGACCCACAAAUGAGGUUCGCCGAGGAAAUUAAUGCACAUUUCUCCGAAGAUUCAGCUCAAUCUUUUACGGUCCAUCAACCCACUUUAAUGGAAUCAGUCAGUUAUUUUACCACAGCGGUCGUCUGCCGAAUCAUUGAAAUUGUACAACGUAUGAACUAAAAACUUCAGUCAGCUUCGUGUUUAUCCGCGCAUAAGCAUUUUCGGGUGUAUUCGAGCAGAUACGUGUGUGAACAAACCUUGGAAAACGCCUCCGGGCGCUCAGCUCAUCCAUCCGCUACCACCACUACGGUACUACCGAAGAAAAACGGCGCAUCACGCACAUACGACUGCAUGCAACCUGCGCCUGUCAAACAGAGCAGAAAGCUCUAAAUCUUCCUUGCAAUCAGCAACCGAGACGCUAGAUGUCGCGACCUAUUGGAACCCUUUUGAAACUGUCGAAACCCCGUAGAAAAUUAGCUUUUUCAUCCCGCCAAAACAAUUUGCACAAUUUCAUGCCUGGUACUCCUUGUGGUUGAAAUUGAAAAUACCGUUAACAAUUGAAAGACAAAUAAGUAGUUGUGGAUGAAAUACAUCUUUGGAUGAAACUCUAGUGUAUGGAUAUAUGGAUGAAUUGGGGAAACAAUUUAUCGAGUGUUUGGUAUUCACAUGGCACCAACUAGAGAAGAAUAACUUCUCUACUUGAGUUGGACUAAUAUCUGGAAUUUCAGAAAUAUUCAACCGAAAAUUACCUCUUUAUUUGUGUUCACCAUGUUUUGGCAGAUGACAAAUAUUUGCCAAUGAUUAAAAAUGGAGUAAGAUGCAACGCUUUCAGGAGUACGCCAUCACAGAAAAACACCCGCAUUGCAACGACUGAUCAUUCCUUAAUGCCUGACGAACCUUUCAAUUUGUCAUUGCAAAUAGAUCAAAAAAUCAAACACUAACAAUUUUACGCGAAGAUAAUAACAGAUUGCUGUAAAUCGGAGCAAACAAUAACGAGAAUUCUCCUAACAAUUAUCGAAGCGUCCUUCAACCUGUUGCAUUUUUGAAAAAUUUUCUGCCGAUGCUUUUCGAUAAAAUAACAAUUUGCCUACUUACCAUAUUAUUUUCGCACCAUCCACGCGUCGUUUUUAAUCAUAAGUUGUGUCUGGCACUUUGCAAAAUAUAAUUCUUCACUUUAGUCAACGGCUAUAACUUUCUUAAUGUAAAAGUCUACACCAGCUGCCUGAAUGCUCACAAUCAGCCAAAUAAUCAAAUACUAUAUUACGUAUCUGCACAAAAAGAGAGAAUAGGUGGAACUGAUAGAACAGAUGCUUCUCGAUCAACGAUCAUGGCAAAUAUUAAUUUAAUUCUUGAGUGACGUGAAAUUAGCACCCUCUCUUGAGCCAUUGAAAAACCAUAAGUAUAUUAUGGGCACAUCUUUGAUUAUGGGUCAAUUUGAGGGACACUUUCACGCAACCAAUAAAGAAUUAGUAAUUCAUUGGGAGGGAAGAUCGAAAAUUGUUACCUGCGAUGUGUUUAAAAAAUAAUUUUUUACCAAUAUACACAUUACAACUUACAUACAUAUAUACUGAUAAUGUGAUUAUUUUAAAUAAUCUCUUUUUUUGUGAAAUUUCAAAAAUGAUAUAUAUUUCAGAAUAUUCACAUUUAUAACUUGGGUAUUUUUCGAUAGUUUGAUGUCUUCCACAAUAUAUAUCGGAUACUUUACUGUUAAAUAAUAUAAUUAAAAUAUGCAUCUAUACUGUGAGUAUAAAUAUUUACAACCGGUAGGAAAAUGAAAUAAUACAGUGAUAGGUAAAUUAGGCUUGAUGUCGUGGAAUGUAUUCGAAAAAAGAAAACCAAUUUUCAUCCGGCGACAUCACAUGCCAGGGUUUCUGAAUUAAAUACUUAAAGAAGUUAACCACAAAUAAA